rnacentral:rRNA from 1 species
AUGGUCAAGCUACGAAGGGCUCACGGUGGAUACCUUGGCACACAGAGGCGAUGAAGGACGUGGUUACCUGCGAUAAGUCUCGGGGAGCUGGAAACACGCUUUGAUCCGGGAAUUCGGGGUUGUGGGACAGCAACGUGGACCUGGGAUGUUAGGAGAAGCGCUUGAAAGGCGCGCCAUAGAGGGUGAAAGCCCCGUAACCGAAAACUGAACAGGCCUAGCUGUAUCCCGAGUAGCACGGAGCACGUGAAAUUCCGUGUGAAUCUGCGAGGACCACCUCGUAAGGCUAAGUACUCCUGUGUGACCGAUAGCGCAACAGUACCGCGAGGGAAAGGUGAAAAGAACCCCGGGAGGGGAGUGAAAUAGAACAUGAAACCGUGAGCUUACAAGCAAUGGGAGCCCGACUGAUCGGGUGACCGUGUGCCUGUUGAAGAAUGAGCCGGCGACUUAUAGGCACUGGCAGGUUAAGGGGGAAAUCCCGGAGCCAUAGCGAAAGCGAGUCUGAAUAGGGCGAAAGUCAGUGUUUAUAGACCCGAACCCGGGUGAUCUAACCAUGGCCAGGAUGAAGCUUGGGUGAUACCAAGUGGAGGUCCGAACCGACUGAUGUUGAAAAAUCAGCGGAUGAGCUGUGGUUAGGGGUGAAAUGCCAAUCGAACCCGGAGCUAGCUGGUUCUCCCCGAAAUACGUUGAGGCGUAGCGUCUAGUGCUCCAGCAGGGGGGUAAAGCCACCGUUUCGGUGCGGGCUGCGAGAGCGGUACCAAAUCGAUACGAACUCUGAAUACCCUGUGUGUAGCCAGGCAGUCAGACUGUGGGGGAUAAGCUCCAUGGUCGAGAGGGAAACAGCCCAGACCACCAGCUAAGGUCCCAAAAUUACCGCUGAGUGAUAAAGGAGGUGGGGUUGCCCAGACAACCAGGAGGUUUGCCUAGAAGCAGCCAUCCUCAAAGGAGUGCGUAAUAGCUCACUGGUCGAGCGAUCCUGCGCCGAAAAUGAACGGGGCUAAGCGGUAUACCGAAGCUGCGGAUUUAUGGUAGGGGAGCGUUCUAUGUGGGGUGAAGCGUUAGCGUGAGCGGGCGUGGACUGCAUAGAAGUGAGAAUGUCGGCUUGAGUAGCGAAAACAUGGGUGAGAAUCCCAUGCCCCGAAACCCUAAGGGUUCCUCCGGUAGGCUCGUCCUCGGAGGGUUAGUCAGGACCUAAGGCGAGGCCGAAAGGCGUAGUCGAUGGACAACAGGUCAACAUUCCUGUACCUGUGAUGUUUUGGGAAGGGGGACGGAAAGGAACUCGGCAAAAUGACCCCGUAACUUCGGGAGAAGGGGUGCCAGCGCAAGCUGGUCGCAGUGAAUAGGCCCAGGCGACUGUUUACCAAAAACACAGGUCUCCGCUAAGUCGCAAGACGAUGUAUGGGGGCUGACGCCUGCCCAGUGCCGGAAGGUUAAGGAAGCUGGUCAACGUAAGUGAAGCUAGCGACUGAAGCCCCGGUGAACGGCGGCCGUAACUAUAACGGUCCUAAGGUAGCGAAAUUCCUUGUCGGGUAAGUUCCGACCCGCACGAAAGGCGUAACGAUCUGGGCGCUGUCUCGGAGAGAGGCUCGGCGAAAUAGAAUUGUCUGUGAAGAUGCGGACUACGUGCACCCGGACAGAAAGACCCUAUGAAGCUUUACUGUAGCUUGGUAUUGUGCCCGGGCUCGCAAUGCGCAGGAUAGGUGGGAGGCUUUGAUCAUCGGCUUGCGGGUCGAUGUGAGCCAACGGUGAGAUACCACUCUUUGCGAGCUAGGGUUCUAACGGUCACCCGUGAUCCGGGGACCGGACAGUAUCUGGUGGGCAGUUUGACUGGGGCGGUCGCCUCCUAAAAGGUAACGGAGGCGCGCAAAGGUCUGCUCAGGCUGGUUGGAAAUCAGCCGACGAGUGUAAAAGCAGAAGCAGGCUUGACUGUGAGACCAACAAGUCGAACAGGGAGGAAACUCGGCUUUAGUGAUCCGACGGUUCUGAGUGGAAGGGCCGUCGCUCAACGGAUAAAAGUUACUCUAGGGAUAACAGGCUGAUCUCCCCCAA